GAUGAACGCUGGCGGCGUGCCUAAUACAUGCAAGUCGAGCGAACAGAUGAGGAGCUUGCUCCUCUGACGUUAGCGGCGGACGGGUGAGUAACACGUGGAUAACCUACCUAUAAGACUGGGAUAACUUCGGGAAACCGGAGCUAAUACCGGAUAAUAUAUUGAACCGCAUGGUUCAAUAGUGAAAGACGGUUUUGCUGUCACUUAUAGAUGGAUCCGCGCCGCAUUAGCUAGUUGGUAAGGUAACGGCUUACCAAGGCAACGAUGCGUAGCCGACCUGAGAGAGUGAUCGGCCACACUGGAACUGAGACACGGUCCAGACUCCUACGGGAGGCAGCAGUAGGGAAUCUUCCGCAAUGGGCGAAAGCUUGACGGAGCAACGCCGCGUGAGUGAUGAAGGUCUUCGGAUCGUAAAGCUCUGUUAUUAGGGAAGAACAAAUGUGUAAGUAACUAUGCACGUCUUGACGGUACCUAAUCAGAAAGCCACGGCUAACUACGUG
rnacentral:rRNA from 1 species